UACGUAGGAGGCAAGCGUUGUCCGGAAUUACUGGGUGUAAAGCGCGUGUAGGCGGCAGGCCAAGUCUGUGGUGAAAUCGCUCGGCUCAACUGGGCGGGGUCCAUGGAAACUGGUCAGCUGGAGGACGGUAGAGGUGAGUGGAAUUCCCGGUGUAGUGGUGAAAUGCGUAGAGAUCGGGAGGAACACCCGUGGCGAAGGCGGCUCACUGGGCCGGUCCUGACGCUGAGGUGCGAAAGCGUGGGGAGCAAACAGG
rnacentral:rRNA from 1 species